rnacentral:rRNA from 1 species
AGAGUUUGAUCCUGGCUCAGGAUGAACGCUGGCGGCGUGCUUAACACAUGCAAGUCAAGGGGGCCCAGCAAGGGCAACCGGCGAACGGGUGCGUAACACGUGAGCAACCUACCUAGGUGUGGGGGAUAGCCGGCCCAACGGCCGGGUAAUACCGCAUACGCUCUUCUUUAGGCAUUUAGAGGAGAGGAAACCUUCGGGGCACCAUGAGGGGCUCGCGGCCUAUCAGCUAGUUGGCGAGGUAAUGGCUCACCAAGGCUACGACGGGUAGCUGGUCUGAGAGGAUGGCCAGCCACAUUGGGACUGAGAAACGGCCCAGACUCCUACGGGAGGCAGCAGUGGGGAAUCUUGCGCAAUGGCCUAACGGCUGACGCAGCGACGCCGCGUGAGGGAUGACGCUCUUCGGAGUGUAAACCUCUUUUGCCUGGAACGAACCAUCAGCAUUUGCUGAUUUGACGGUACCGGGUGAAUAAGCACCGGCUAACUCCGUGCCAGCAGCCGCGGUAAUACGGGGGGUGCGAGCGUUGUCCGGAAUCACUGGGCGUAAAGGGCGCGUAGGUGGCAUGAUAAGGGUGUGGUGAAAGCCCGGGGCUCAACCCCGGGUCGGCCAUGCCGACUGUCAAGCUGGAGUACUGUAGGGGCAGGCGGAAUUCCGGGUGUAGCGGUGGAAUGCGUAGAGAUCCGGAGGAAGACCGGUGGCGAAGGCGGCCUGCUGGGCAGUUACUGACACUGAUGCGCGACAGCGUGGGGAGCAAACAGGAUUAGAUACCCUGGUAGUCCACGCCGUAAACGAUGGGUACUAGGUGCCUGGGGGAGCGACCCCUUGGGUGCCGGCGCUAACGCAGGAAGUACCCCGCCUGGGGAGUACGGCCGCAAGGCUGAAACUCAAAGGAAUUGACGG